UAACUAACAGCAAACUUGAUGUAAGGUC
rnacentral:sRNA from 1 species